UGUGAAUGAUGACAAAUCUUUCCCUGACAACACUGAGGGCACAAACUGAUUUAAUGAGCCUGACGC